GACGAACGCUGGCGGCGUGCUUAACACAUGCAAGUCGAACGGAAAGGCCCUGCUUUUGUGGGGUGCUCGAGUGGCGAACGGGUGAGUAACACGUGAGUAACCUGCCCUUGACUUUGGGAUAACUUCAGGAAACUGGGGCUAAUACCGGAUAGGAGCUCCUGCUGCAUGGUGGGGGUUGGAAAGUUUCGGCGGUUGGGGAUGGACUCGCGGCUUAUCAGCUUGUUGGUGGGGUAGUGGCUUACCAAGGCUUUGACGGGUAGCCGGCCUGAGAGGGUGACCGGCAACAUUGGGACUGAGAUAGGGCCCAGACUCCUACGGGAGGCAGCAGUGGGGAAUAUUGAACAAUGGGCGGAAGCCUGAUGCAGAAACGCCGCGUGCGGGAUGACGGCCUUCGGGUUGUAAACCGCUUUCGCCUGUGACGAAGCGUGAGUGACGGUAAUGGGUAAAGAAGCACCGGCUAACUACGUG
rnacentral:rRNA from 1 species